rnacentral:rRNA from 1 species
ACAGGUGCUGCGAUGGCUGUCGUCAGCUCGUGUCGUGAGAUGUUCGGUUAAGUCCGCUAACGAGCGCAACCCUCGCUGUGUGUUAUAUGUGUCACACGGGACUGCCGGUCUUAAGCCGGAGGAAGGUGGGGAUGAUGUCAAGUCAGCAUGGCCUUUAUAUCCUGGGCUACACACACGCUACAAUGGCCAGCACAGUAGGUUGCUAAGCCGCGAGGUGGAGCCAAUCCAUAAAGCUGGUCUCAGUUCAGAUUGCAGGCUGCAACCCGCCUGCAUGAAGAUGGAGUUGCUAGUAACCGCAGGUCAGCUAUACUGCGGUGAAUACGUUCCCGGGGCUU